AAACGGAACACAUUUCCUCUUCUUUCCACAUUUGUACCAAUAGCCUGGACUGAGUGUCGGGGUCAUCUUGGUGCACGUUCAAGUCCUUCAUUCUUGACAGGUGCUAACUCAGAGAACUCGGUGGGGCCCAGGUCCAACACAGCCAGGUGAGCUGACUCCAGAGCCAGAUCAGAGCUGGGCUUGGGAACCAAAAUCCAAGCAAUUUAUUGAGUCCUCAAAGAAACACUGAACUUUAUUUCACUGAACUACACUUGUAGACCAAUGCAUUGUAGUGGGACCUUCAGCACCAUGGAAUCAGACUCAGAGUGUUUCAUUUUGUUUUCUUUUUCUAGUCUUAUUUUUUGCUUUGUCUUACUUUGACUAGCUUUGUUUCACCUUGUUAGGCAGAAAAUUCAAG
rnacentral:lncRNA from 10 species